rnacentral:rRNA from 1 species
GACGAACGCUGGCGGCGUGCCUAAUACAUGCAAGUAGGACGCAGUUGCGAACGGGUGAGUAACGCGUAGGUAACUGCCUCUUAGAGGGGGAUAACUAUUGGAAACGAUAGCUAAUACCGCAUACUAGUAGAUGGAUCUGCGUUGUAUUAGCUAGUAGGUAGGGAAAUGGCCUACCUAGGCAACGAUACAUAACCGACCUGAGGGGGUGAUGGUGAACACGGGGAGGGGGACAAGGGCCAGAACCCUACUGGAGGCAGCAGUAGGGAAUCUUAGGAAAUGGGGGGAACCCUGACCGGGCAACGCCGCGUGAGUGAAGAAGGUUUUCGGAUCGUAAAGCUCUGUUGUUAAGGAAGCGGUACUUAACCAGAAAGGGACGGCUAACUACGUGCCAGCAGCCGCGGUAAUAC